rnacentral:rRNA from 1 species
CCCUUAGAUGUUCUGGGCCGCACGCGUGCUACACUGAGUAAAUCAAUGGGUAAGGGAACACGAAAGUGCAACCUAAUCUUCAAAUUUGCUCGUGAUGGGGAUCGACGGUUGCAAUUUUCCGUCGUGAACGAGGAAUACCUUGUAGGCGCGUGUCAUCAUCACGCGCCGAAUACGUCCCUGCCCUUUGUACACACCGCCCGUCGCUACUGCCAACUGAGAUGGGUCCUGAAUUGUUAGGAACGCCCGUCAAGGGGCCUACCCGGUCCCUAGUGCGGUGACGAGAAUAACUGUAAAUGGCAUAUCUUGUAGGGAGUAAAAGUCGUAACA